rnacentral:rRNA from 1 species
AUUGAACGCUAGCGGCAGGCUUUACACAUGCAAGUCGAACGAGUGGCGGACGGGUGAGUAAUAUAUGGGAACCUGCCCACUAGCGGGGGAUAACUACUCGAAAGGGUGGCUAAUACCGCAUACCAUCGGAUGUGCCCAUAUGGGAUUAGCUAGUUGGUGGGGUAAAGGCUCACCUAGGCAACGAUCCGUAGCUGGUUUGAGAGGAUGACCAGCCACACUGGAACUGAGACACGGUCCAGACUCCUACGGGAGGCAGCAGUGGGGAAUAUUGGACAAUGGGCGAAAGCCUGAUCCAGCCAUGCCGCGUGUAUGAAGAAGGCCUUCGGGUUGUAAAGUACUUUCAGCGGGGAGGCGGUAUCUGCAGAAUAAGCACCGGCUAACUACGUGCCAGCAGCCGCGGUAAUUC